CCCACGGCUUGCGCCGUGGGCCAGAGUCUAACGCCCCUACGGGGCU
rfam:Acidobacteria bacterium RIFCSPLOWO2_12_FTLL_60_22 rifcsplowo2_12_scaffold_70425, whole genome shotgun sequence.